rnacentral:tRNA from 1 species
UGGAAUAUAGUUAAUUUAUUAUAUUUAUAUUGCUAAUAAAAGAUAUUAUGUAUUAAUUAAUCUUA